UUAUUAUAACCCUUUUUAUUUUUCUCUUUACCAUUUAAUUACUCAUCUAUCCAACUUUACUCAAUCCAUCCAAACAGAGCCUAGGCAGAUGGGGUAGGGUAACUGGCCAUUUAUUUGGGCUCAAGACUGAGGCCCACAAAGGAUUGUGUCAUGUUAAGCUUUUAUUGAAACAUCUCCAGGCUCCAGAGUCAAAUUCAGGUAAUCGCUUGGAAAAUUGCAAUUGCCAAAAUCAUAGCAUGUCAGGAUAAUCUGUAUUUCUUUUGA
rnacentral:misc_RNA from 1 species